AAAAUCCGUCGACUUUAGAAAUCGUGAGGGUUCAAGUCCCUCUAUCCCCCCAAAAAGACCGAUUUGACUAUUUCUCCUACCCUCUCUUUUUUUUAGUGAUUCAAAAUUCGUUCUCUUUCUCAUUCAUUCUACCUUUUUACAAACGUAUCAGAGCAGAAUUUUUUUUUUAUCACAAUCACAAGUGGUGUGGUAUAUAUGAUAUACGUACAAAUGAACAUCUUUGAACAAAGAAUCCCGAUUCACAAUUCAUAUCAUUGCUCAUACUGAAACUUAUAAAUUAUUCUAUUCAAGAAAUCGAAUUCCACGCUCAAGACUUUUAAUACUUUUUUAAUUGACAUAGACCCCAGUCAUCUAGUAAAAUGAGGAUGAUGCGCCGGUAAUGGUCGGGAUAGCUCAGCUGGUAGAGCAGAGGACUGAAAAUCCUCGUGUCACCA
rnacentral:tRNA from 1 species